UGGAGUGCUUUUACCGAGGGGGAAACACCCGUUCCCAUUCCGAAUACGGCCGUUAAGCCCCUCAGGGCCGAUGGUAGUUUAGUCGUAAGGCUAUGCGAGAGUAGGUCAGUGCUCCUU
rnacentral:rRNA from 1 species